UAGGGAAUCUUCGGCAAUGGACGAAAGUCAGACCGAGCAACGCCGCGUGAGUGAAGAAGGUUUUCGGAUCGUAAAACUCUGUUGUUAGAGAAGAACAAGGACGUUAGUAACUGAACGUCCCCUGACGGUAUCUAACCAGAAAGCCACGGCUAACUACGUGCCAGCAGCCGCGGUAAUACGUAGGUGGCAAGCGUUGUCCGGAUUUAUUGGGCGUAAAGCGAGCGCAGGCGGUUUCUUAAGUCUGAUGUGAAAGCCCCCGGCUCAACCGGGGAGGGUCAUUUGAAACUGGGAGACUUGAGUGCAGAAGAGGAGAGUGGAAUUCCAUGUGUAGCGGUGAAAUGCGUAGAUAUAUGGAGGAACACCAGUGGCGAAGGCGGCUCUCUGGUCUGUAACUGACGCUGAGGCUCGAAAGCGUGGGGAGCAAACAGG
rnacentral:rRNA from 1 species